rnacentral:rRNA from 1 species
UGCCUCUAAGCAGGGGAUAACAUUUGGAAACAGAUGCUAAUACCGUAUAAAUCCUAAAACCACAUGGAUUUAGGCUGAAAGGCGGCUUCGGCUGUCACUUAGAGAUGGACCCGCGGCGUAUUAGCUAGUUGGUGAGGUAACGGCUCACCAAGGCAAUGAUAGGUAGCCGAACUGAGAGGUUGAUCGGCCAGAUUGGGACUGAGACACGGCCCAAACUCCUACGGGAGGCAGCAGUAGGGAAUCUUCCACAAUGGACGCAAGUCUGAUGGAGCAACGCCGCGUGAGUGAAGAAGGCUUUCGGGUCGUAAAACUCUGUUGUUGAAGAAGAACACGUUUGAGAGUAACUGUUCAGACGUUGACGGUAUUCAACCAGAAAGCCACGGCUAACUACGUGCCAGCAGCCGCGGUAAUACGUAGGUGGCAAGCGUUAUCCGGAUUUAUUGGGCGUAAAGCGAGCGCAGGCGGUUUUUUAAGUCUGAUGUGAAAGCCCUCGGCUUAACCGAGGAAGUGCAUCGGAAACUGGGAAACUUGAAUGCUGAAGAGGAGAGUGGAACUCCAUGUGUAGCGGUGAAAUGCGUAGAUAUAUGGAAGAACACCAGUGGCGAAGGCGGCUGUCUGGUCAGUUAUUGACGCUGAGGCUCGAAAGCAUGGGUAGCGAACAGGAUUAGAUACCCUGGUAGUCCAUGCCGUAAACGAUGAAUACUAGGUGUUGGAGGGUUUCCGCCCUUCAGUGCCGCAGCUAACGCAUUAAGUAUUCCGCCUGGGGAGUACGACCGCAAGGUUGAAACUCAAAGGAAUUGACGGGGGCCCGCACAAGCGGUGGAACAUGUGGUUUAAUUCGAAGCAACGCGAAGAACCUUACCAGGUCUUGACAUCUUCUGCUAUUUCUAGAGAUAGAAAGUUCCCUUCGGGGACGGAAUGACAGGUGGUGCAUGGUUGUCGUCAGCUCGUGUCGUGAGAUGUUGGGUUAAGUCCCGCAACGAGCGCAACCCUUAUGACUAGUUGCCAGCAUUAAGUUGGGCACUCUAGUAAGACUGCCGGUGACAAACCGGAGGAAGGUGGGGACGACGUCAAAUCAUCAUGCCCCUUAUGACCUGGGCUACACACGUGCUACAAUGGUUGGUACAACGAGUUGCGAACUCGCGAGGGUAAGCUAAUCUCUUAAAGCCAAUCUCAGUUCGGA